CUGGAUGCUUUUCGUAGCCAUUACAAAAUUUAUAUGAUGAUUAUAUAUUUUGAAGAUUACCGUGAGUUUUAGAGCAUGUUUAUCGCCGUAGCUUAAUGAGGUUGCUUAAUAUAAUUACAAUUAAAAGAAAAUAAAAAAUAGAAGAAAGCAGAAGCGACGGCCCCUAAUUAAGCACGAGAAGCAACGUUGCUUCUUGGACAGGUGUCGUGACUCUCUCUCUCUCUGGUUUAUUCGCGAAGAAGGAAGAAGGAAGAAGAAGCCAUGGCAGGAGUAUGACCGAUGACUCAGGAUUGGAGCCUGUGGUGACUCGGACUUUCAGCCUCGCCUCUUUCUGCCUCGACGGGUCCAAACUCACCGAGGAUCCCGACGGUGGUGAUCCCGCCCGUUUCGUCCUCAGAAACCUUCGAAUCCGUUUCCGGCACUACCGCAAAGCAUAACAAUGAUUGGUUCUCUGUCUCUCUCUCUCUGCCGAUUACAAAAAUCGUAUGCAUUUGUGUCGAAUCAAGCAUCUGUUUUGAGAAUUGAUAGAUAAAAGCUUUGUUGUUUUGUGAUUGUAUUUGGAUUUUGAGAAGGAAAAAAAACCGCUGACUUUGUUUCUUUUUGUUCUCUAUCUCUCUCUGUUGAUCACGAAAACCGCAUCCAUCUGAGUCGAAUUGAAAGGAUGCAUCUGAGUCGAAUUGAAACAGCUGAGUCAGAUCGUAAGGUAAAUAAUUAGUGAAAGAGUGGAGCUCUCAGGUGGUGAUCACUAGCAUUACUAUAGGAGGCCUUCUAUUGCUUAUUGGAAGCCAUCAGAAAGAAAAGGUACGUUAUUGGAACAACAUCAAGAAUGGCUUUUCUAGUGAACUGAUCUUAGUGAUGGUUGGUUGUGGCUUUAAGUUUCUUGUUCUGUUUUAUGUAGUUUUUGUUAUGAAAAAACGUAUCACGGUUUUAAUGUAGUUUAAAUGUUCUUGGUUAUUGUCAAAUGUUCCUGGUCUUGAUCUUCUUCUAUUUUCUCAUUGUUUCAAAUUUUCUUGUUGUUCUUGUUUAUCUUGUUUAUCUUCAAUAAAAUUAUGUUUAUUUUUUUAAGCACCCCUUAAUUAAGCAACUACCAAUAAACCCC